CAGGUUUUUAUGGUCUGUCCUGUGCUGAGGAGUGUGCGUGUGAAGACCCGUGUGCAUGUGACCCGCAGACAGGAAGCUGCAACAGCACGUCCAACAGAGCGGUUCAGUGUUUGGGGAGGAGGCGACAGAAGGAGGCGUACAGACAUGAACCCUAUCUAACGGAACAAACAUGGCUGAUCAUCACGCUGACGCUGGCCUCUCUGCUGCUGAUCCGACUGCUGGUUCACUUCCUGCGGGCGACUCGCAAAUGGCUUCUCUUCGGUUUUUCCUACACACAAGUUCCUCUGAGCGACGUGAAGGGAGAGGCGCUGACGUACAGCUUUCUGCAGCUUCACUGACAAACACACUAGCAUAUCUGGGAGAAAAGCCCAGCAAACCAGAGGGGUCAAAAGUACACACAUCCUUUACUCAAGUAGAAGU